rnacentral:lncRNA from 15 species
ACUGAUGACUGCUCAGCCUCCAGCUGGGUCAAUUAACAAGCAGCUUCAACUGAUUAAAACCCCACCUGGAGCUCAGCUGACACUCACUGGCUGAGAGGAGACAAUGGAGAAAGCUUCUGUCAUUAAAGAUAUGAAAAGCUUUGAGUGUUCGUCUCCAUCAGAGCUUGACAGGAAGUUUUUUGAGGAACAGAGUUUGCUGUCUGCUUUGUCGCUGGAACAACUGUCCACAUCAAGGGCUUCAAAUGACACGGCCUUUUCAAUGAGCAGCUUGAACACUCAGGAGCCGGACAAUUGUCACCUGACUGUGCCUUUACAUGGGAAGUCCUCCACUCCCCACAUGCUCCUUCAAAAGCAGAAACAGGCUGCCUGUUUUGACCAGAUGUACAGUGAUCUCGCUGGCUCUCAAAUGUCAUGGGAUGUGUCUUUGAUUAAACCGGAGAGUAACAGCCCCAAACCCUACAUGGAGUUCAGCUCACUAGAGCAAACCUGGAGUCCAAAACCCCAGUUUACACUAGAGUCUACACAACAGUCACCAGCUGAAGUUUCUCCCUGA